AUUGAACGCUGGCGGCAUGCCUUACACAUGCAAGUCGAACGGUAACAGGUCUUCGGACGCUGACGAGUGGCGAACGGGUGAGUAAUACAUCGGAACGUGCCCAGUCGUGGGGGAUAACUACUCGAAAGAGUAGCUAAUACCGCAUACGAUCUGAGGAUGAAAGCGGGGGACCUUCGGGCCUCGCGUGAUUGGAGCGGCCGAUGGCAGAUUAGGUAGUUGGUGGGAUAAAAGCUUACCAAGCCGACGAUCUGUAGCUGGUCUGAGAGGACGACCAGCCACACUGGGACUGAGACACGGCCCAGACUCCUACGGGAGGCAGCAGUGGGGAAUUUUGGACAAUGGGCGAAAGCCUGAUCCAGCAAUGCCGCGUGCAGGAUGAAGGCCUUCGGGUUGUAAACUGCUUUUGUACGGAACGAAAAAGUCUCCUCUAAUACAGGAGGCCCAUGACGGUACCGUGAGAAUAAGCACCGGCUAACUACGUGCCAGCAGCCGCCGUAA
rnacentral:rRNA from 1 species